AUCUAUGGCUAUACCACCCUGAACGCGCCCGAUCUCAUCUGAUCUCCGAAGCUAAGAGGGGUUGGGCCUGGUUAGUACUUGGAUGGGAGAUUGACUAUAUCAGAUCUAAUUAGAUUAUCAUUGAUU
rfam:Pan troglodytes isolate Yerkes chimp pedigree #C0471 (Clint) chromosome 1, whole genome shotgun sequence.